AUGGUGGAGGUGAGUAUAACUACAAAAUUCCAGAAGUUCUGUGAUGAGAAUGGAAUUGACCAUGAGGUUACUACUCCUUAUACUCCUCAACACAAUGGUCUUGCUGAAAGAAGAAAUCGUACUUUGCUUGAUAUGACCAGAAGCAUGCUGAAAGAGAAGAAGCUACCUCAUAACUUGUGGGGAGAAGCUGUAGCUAUUUCUACGUAUGUGCUCAACAGGUGUCCAACAAAGAAGCUGAACGAAAUUGUUCCUUUAGAAAAAUAG